UGCCUCGUCAAGCACAUGAUGGCUGCCAUAGAUAGACACAUAACAUAAGGAGUGCUAUUUAAGAGGAAGCCCAAUUCCAAAGUUAAACACAACUGGAAAUAUCUAACAUGUUUAGAUUCAUGGCUUUGGGCAAAAUCCAUUUUUUGAAUUUGCUAGAUAUUUAUGAAAUUGGAUUUUAGUAAAUCCACAAGUAAAAGUGGAGGUCAAAAAUGAUUGGCUUCAAAUUAACAGCAAGCUAACAGAAAAACAUAAUCAAGACACAAAGUACACAAGGUGAGGCCAAAACCCUCACAACUGGGCAUUCAUUUUCGUGUGUGGUGCGUCCCUGCUAUAGUUGCAGAUACUCCAAGGAAAAAGACAAGUUCUUUCCGAACUACAAAUCACAAGUAUCCUAAGCGCAGUCUAAUUGCAUUAUGCGUUUAUAUGAAAAAAGGCAUCCCCAGCACACAAGGCUUCACACUUUAUGAUGGUUGGGGGCGGGUCAUCUAUAGUACACAGCAUUUCAAUCCCCCCUGCCUUUUGCAAGGAGGUUGUCUCCACAACUCAAACCUGAGACCUUUUAGUCAUAAAAGAGCAACCGUACUAUUGUACCGCAGCUCAUCCUCAAUAUCAUCAUGUAAGCUGGAAAAAAUAUUAAAAACUAAAAGUUCAGAUAAUGUACCUUGCACCUCUCAGUACAAUAGUA
rnacentral:misc_RNA from 1 species